UACGUAGGGUGCGAGCGUUAAUCGGAAUUACUGGGCGUAAAGCGUGCGCAGGCGGUUUUGUAAGCCAGAUGUGAAAUCCCCGGGCUUAACCUGGGGGCUGCAUUUGAGACGUGUUGUCUAGAGUGAGGAAGAGGGUUGUGGAAUUCCCAGUGUAGAGGGUGAAAUUCGUAGAUAUUGGGAAGAACACCGGUGGCGAAGGCGGCAACCUGGUCCUUGACUGACGCUGAGGCGCGAAAGGCGUGGGGAGCAAACAGG
rnacentral:rRNA from 1 species